rnacentral:rRNA from 1 species
UACGGGGGGGGCAAGCGUUGUUCGGAAUUACUGGGCGUAAAGGGCACGUAGGCGGGUCGUUAAGUCAGGGGUGAAAUCCCGGAGCUCAACUCCGGAACUGCCUUUGAUACUGGCGACCUUGAGGCUGGAAGAGGUUAGUGGAAUUCCCAGUGUAGAGGUGAAAUUCGUAGAUAUUGGGAAGAACACCCGUGGCUAAGGCGGCUCUCUAGUACGGUACUGACGCUGAGACGCGAAAGCGUGGGGAGCAAACCGG